UACAGAAGAAGAAGCAUCAUGAAAAGUGAACUGAAGAAUGGACUGCCUUUUUGCAUACUGUUUCAGUUGUCAUACAUUGCACUAAGUGUGUUUUGUUGCCUAUUUAAAUGACAUCACUAUAAUUGGGGCCCGACCGAUUUAUCGGCGAGCAAAUUAAAUCGGCUAAUUUUAGCCUGUUUGAGACUAGUCGGUAAUUGGGCAAAACUCGCCGAUAUUUACAGAAAUAAAAUGCGGAGAAUAAGAUUCGGUUUCACUUCGAAAAUGUUCCGCCAUUUGAAAAGUUCCCUGACUUAUCCUGUAGAUGGCGCAGCGACCUCAUGACAGUCUUCAUCUACUAACUACCUCACAGCACAGCAGAGUGACGGAUCUGAAGCAGGCAGCUCAGGGAUGCACGGAGGAGAGUGGUCCGCCUCAACGGUAAAUAAAGUAGUUUGUGAAAUAUACAAUAAGUCAACAAGUUUUAGUUCAACCCACUUCACGAUGUUCCCCGCUGUGCUCGCUCGGUCACGCCGAGUUAACGGUGAAGCACCAUGUAAUAUGCAAGCUAAAGUUAGAGUUAGCCACCUGCUAUUAGCAUUGCUACGCUGGUAGCCGUGCCCGUAACGGUAGAAUAAACAACAGUGCACAUUACGUGAUCAGGCUACUCCUCUUACUGAGGCAGCUGCGUGUCUCCUGGAAAUGUGUAACGUGAGUUAAGACGCAGAGGCACUGAUCGGCGGUGGGCGGAGGGGUUGAAAACACUUUUCUGUUCCGAGUUUGAUCAGUCGGUCUUCUUGUCAGCAUGAAGAGCAGUAGCCUACAGUAUAUCUACAGUAUAUAGUAUACUUUAGAUAUCUACACUAUAUAUAUUUUUUUUUAUAACUUCAUAAAAAAUUUAAAAAUCGGCUGAUGAUCGGUAAUCUGAUUUUUUCCCCUCUACUUAUCGGUUUCGGCAUCUGCCCCAAAAAAUCCAUAUCGUUCGGGCCAGACUCUAAAUGUUAAUGCCAAUUUCAUAAACUGUAAACACAAAUACACAUGUACCAGGUUUUCAGAUGGAAUUUUACAUGGAUGGAAUUUACAGUUGAUUUUUAAGAUAUUUGUGAAACACACGCCUUCAAUAUAAAGGACUUGGUGCUUACCAUCUGUCCUUUGUUGAACUAUCUUAUUACGAGUUUUAAGUUGUUGACCUUAUGAAGCUGCUGAUGUUACUCUCCGUUUUCAGUUGCUGUUGUGUUCAGAACUAAGCUGUCCCCAAAAAACUCUUUGGUCUUUACUUGUCUGCUUAGAUAUUAUCACUAAAUGUUGCCAAAAGUAUAUUUGAGUUCCUAACCGGUUACCUAAAGGUGUAAUUUUAGCAAGUGAUAGAAGCAUCAACUUUUGAAUGUCUCCCACAGUGAAGGGGAAAAUCCCACAGGCCAGCUAAGCGACACAUUGGCAAGAACAAUGGCAACUGUACUGUGCAGCUUUGUCUUCUGUCAUUUGUGUGUGUUGUUACAUGUAACAUAGUUUUAUGAUUGUGUUUAUAUGCCAUAUGUAAAAGCUUGGAGUACCAUUGGAAAUGUAGACCCAAGCAGGACCAGCGGGCUUUGGUGUGAAUUACAGAUGUUCGGAUUCAGUUCAUGUAAACAUCCUACACUCAGCUGUGAUCAAUUGCAGCAGAGGCUGAGAGAAGGUUGUUUACUUGAACUAGCUAGAAUUAACACUGAGACCUAAAGCCAGAUGAGAAAAAGGCAUCCACAGAAAGGUUGUACUACACAUAUUUAUUGAUAAUUUAUACUUUUUAAAAACCACUAUGUAAUUAAAGGUACAGUGUGUAGAAAUGGCAGUACUUAUCAAUAUCCGGAGUUUCAGAUCUCGAUUCAUUACCUAGCUCACCUCUCUCAGUAAAUAAACAUUGGCCUUCAAGGACAAAAAGCACCUGUGAUAUAAAGAUCUAAUCCUCCAUUUGUCAGAUUUUUACUGUCAAAAGCAUCAAUCGGUACAUAUUCUCCAACACCAGACAAACACUUUUGUCUUCAUCUUUGUCCAACUCUCAUUCACUUCCAACCAGCCACUCUCUAAUAUUAAAAUAACAUGUGUUACUCAUUUCUAUGUCCUGUUCUGUGGUCGUAAUGUGACAAUGCAGGAUGGCAGAUCUGCUGCUCACGCUGAUGUUGAAAAAGGCUCAUUCUUUAUAUAUAAAGAAUAUAGCAAGAAUUUAUUCUUACAGUCUUGUGAUGGUAAAUUUAUUUAAACAUGCUCUCAAAUGUUUCAUUUCUACCAGGUCUGCCAGUAAAUACUGCACACUGCACUUUUAAGGACAAAAAUUUAACAACCAUUGAUCAGUCACAGCCUCUUCCUCGUGUUUUCCAUGCAGCGUAUUCCAGCUCUUCAAAGACAUUACAUUGGGCUUUGAUAACUUUGAUCAUAAAGUACUUGACUAACUUUUUUAAUCAAUGUUAUAUGGUGAAUCAAAAAUGGUUAGCUAUGGGAAGUAAUGAAAAUUAUGUUUAUUAGCAACUCUCAUAUCGUGAUAAAGUUAGUGCAAUGGAGCUCUAUAAAAAGGUUAAUUUCUCCAUCCAGUCAUCCAUAAGGAAGAGCAGUAGAAAGGUUUGCAAGAAAGAGACAAUAAUGUGUGUGUUUAAAUCCAGCGUACUUGUAAGGCUGUAUUAACAAUUAAGCUGUAGUUUUGGUAUCAUCUGUAAGUUCUAAUGUGCUACUUUUGAACGGUGUGUGAAUUAAAGUGUAUUUGUCUUCUUGUUUUGCAGUUGUGAACCCUUUAAGACAUUUUUAAAAAGCUCAUGUGAGUCAAUGAGACACUUUGAGUAUAAUAAAACCGAUACUGAUUAUCA